UUGGUCUGGCACAGAGCAUGUGAG
rnacentral:miRNA from 1 species